AACGCGAAGAACCUUACCCAGGUUAGAAGUGCAGGAGGAGAUAGCAGAGAUGGUAUCGCUCGAAAGGGCUGCUGCAUAGGUGCUGCAUGGCUGUCGUCAGCUCGUGCCGUGAGGUGUUGGGUUAAGUCCCGCAACGAGCGCAACCCUUAUCAUUAGUUGCCAACACGAGAGGUGGGGACUCUAAUGAGACUGCCUAGGUUAACUAGGAGGAAGGUGAGGAUGACGUCAAGUCCGCAUGGCCUUUAUGUCUGGGGCUACACACGUGCUACAAUGGUCGGUACAGAAGGCAGCGAAGUCGCGAGAUGGAGCAAAUCCGAAAAGCCGAUCUCAGUUCAGAUUGUAGUCUGCAACUCGACUACAUGAAGAUGGAAUUGCUAGUAAUGACGUGUCAGCAACAACGUCGUGAAUACGUUCCCGGGCCUUGUA
rnacentral:rRNA from 1 species